CCGCCCGCGCUGUGCCCCGGCUGCUGCUGCUGCUCCUGGCCGGACCUGCACAGGGGAGGGAGGCAGCCUGCCCCUCUGCUCAGCCCUGGUGAAGCCGCAUCCGGAGUGCUGUGUCCACUACCGUGCGAGGGAGUCCUGGAGCGGGUCCAGCGGCGGGAACAAAGAUGAUGGGGGACUGGAGCAUCGCUCGUAUGAGAACAGGCUGAGGAAGCUGGGCCUGCUCAGCCCCGAGGAGAUUGAGACAGGACCUCAUCAACGUCUAUCAGUAUUGAAGGGAGGGUGCCAAGAGGAUGGAGCCGGGCUCUGCUUGGUGGUGCCGAGCAGCAGGACAAGAGGCAACGGGCCGAGACCGAUGCACAGAAGUUCCAUUUGAAUAUAAGGAAGAACUUCUUUACUGUGCCAAAUGACCCAGCACUGGAAAAAGUUGCCCAGAGAGAUCAAAGAUUAUCGUUCACUGAUGAUUCAGGAACCUCCUGGACACAGCCCCGUGCUCUGGGAUGACCCUGCUUGAGCAGGGAGGUUGGACCAGACAUCCCACAGUGCUCCCUUCCAGCCUUGUCCAUUAUGUUAUUCUGUACUGUAGACACACAUGCACAUGGAGCUGUUUAAGUGAGAGUCCAAAACCUUGGUAAAUGGAUGCUGGAGCUGCAGCACCCACAGUGUGGUAUUGUGUGCUGCUCAUGCAUCCAACUUUUUCUCUGAGGCUUUCUAUUUUACUUUUUUGCUCUCACAAAUAGUACCUAUUUGUAGACAAAGUUGCACGUGUCCUUAUUUGAGUAAGGACAGCAAAGGUGAUGAGGGCUCUGGAGCAAUUUCUUAGGAGGGGAGAAUGAAGGAGCUCAGCCUGUUUGGUCUAGAGAAGAGAAGACUGCAAGGGGAUCUCAUUAAUGCAUAUGAAUGUCUCAAAUGCAGGUGUCAAAACAAUAAUGCCAGACACUUCAGUGGUGCCCAGUGACAGGAUGAGGAGCAAUGGCCAUAGACACAAGAAUUUCCACAUCGAGACGAGGGAGAACUUCCAUUGAGGGUGGCAUACCACUGGAACAGGCUGCCAAGGGAGGGUCACCUGUUCCAGGUGACUCUGCCUUGGCAGGGGGGUUGGAUUAGAUGAUCUCCAGAAGUCCUUUCUACCCCUAAGAAUUUGAUUCUGUGGUUCUGUAAAAGUGUGGAUGCCUCUAGCAUGCUUAAUUACCAUGAAUUCCUGCUGAGAGCCUGGCUGGCAGCACUGCUGGAAGUUUUCCAUGAACUGCUGUUUAGGAUUGCUGUAUACUUUUAAGAGAUGCUUCAUGUCAUGCCAUGACCACCAGAAGCUGCUUAAGAGCCUACCACCAUGGAAUACAUCUUUCUUUUAUCAUCAGCAUAAGGAUUGUUGAAACCUUUAGAAGAGGAUUUCUCUUCUCAGUAGGGAUGGAGAUUUCCAGCUAAGCCAGACCAUAUGCUGAUUCCCGGAUUUCUUAUCUGUAAUCAGUCUUUCUUUGAUGUUGUCAAAGAUGUUUCCAUUAAAACUGCAGAACUGGUACUUCAUCAGUAUUCAUGUGCAGUAUUUAUUAUUAUGAGACUACAUCCCUUACUACAAAAAUCAGUAAUACAUUUCUUGCAGUGUUAAUAUUUGUGAUUCCCCACCCACUUUAAACUAAGAGCAGCAUAGAGGAGAUGGCUGAUAACCUCUUAACACAUAAAAGCACUGACAAGGUCUCCUGCAGACACUGUAAUUCAAAGUAGUCUGUGUGAACACAAAUCCUCCAUUAUUGACUUGCUGCUCAUUCCCUUAGUUCAGCAUAGCUCACAUUUCUUCCAUUCUGAGUAGUAACUUCUUCCUACUCAAAGAAUUUGGAUAAGUGUUCCUUGUUUCAAGGUCAGUUUAGAUACAGUUCCAAGACAUGAUCUAAGAAACAAAUAAUAAGACAUGACCUGUAUUCAGCAAAGCAUCUGAGCAGUGAUUGUUUACAGUACAGACGAGUCCUAAUGCUCAAGUUCUUACCUUCACGGCAGAGGAACUGAUGCAGCAGAGAUCCUUGCUGGCACCAGGGAACAGCUUUCACCAUAUGUUGUUCACAAGACAAAGAAAACACGUGGGUUUUUUUGGGUUUUUUUUUGGUUUUGUUUUUGUUUUUUUCUGUAUAUUGCAGCUAGUCUAGUAUCUGUUCAAGUAAUGCAUUUAGGAGAUUGUUUCUCUGGUAUAUGCUCUAAAAUGCUAGGAUUUGGUUUCUGUGCUUUCUUCCUUGACAAUUCUUCUCGCUGUCAUUUAUAAUAAACAUAGUCACAAUAAGAAACUGUCAUAAGAAAAUGCAGUAUACUGUCAUAAAAUAAAAUUAUUCUAGGAUA